rnacentral:misc_RNA from 1 species
GAAGUAAAGUCGUACAAGGUUUCCGUAGGUGAACCGCGGAAGGAUCAUUAAUAAAUUUUUUAGGUGAAAUCGAACCUAAAAUAUAGUAUCCACCCUUUGUGAAUUGUUGUUUGAAAUAAUUUUUAAAAAAUUAUUUAAGUUUUGUCUAUCCUGAUUGUAAGAGAAGUAAUUCUUGAAGCUUAGGAAUAGGCUUAUCUAUAAAUAAUGAUUUAAGACUUUUUUAAUUAAACUUUGUAUUCAUUUGUCUAAAUUAUUUUAUAAUUAAAAACAACUUUGACAAUGGAUCUCUUGUUCUCGCACGAUGAAGAACGCAGCAAAAUGCGAUAAGUAAUGUGAAUUGCAGAAUACGUGAAUCACAAAUCUUCGAACGCAUAUUGCACUUUUUUAGUUUACUAAAAAGUAUGUCUGUUUGAGUAUCAGUAAAAUAUUCUCAUAAAAAUUUAUUUUUUAUGGUUUUGAGUGUUUACAACGAUACAAGUUGUUCACUUAAAUUGACUUUAAAUUGCCUAUUAUUAGUCAAUUUUUAAAUUGCAUAAAAUUUUCCCGUAAAAAGGAUAACUAUCAAUUUAAAAUUAACUGAUAUUAAAAGGCCUUGAUAAAAGGAAUUAUUAAAUAACUUGAUCUCAAAUCAGAUAAGAGUACCGCUGAACUAAGCAUAUCAUAAGCGGAGGAAAGAAACUAACAGGAUCCCUAGUAACGGCGAGUGAAGCGGAAGAGCUCAAAUUUGAAAUCUUCAAGGUUGACCUUGACGAAUUGUAGUUUAAAGAAGUGUUUUCGGUUAGGAGUGGUAAAGUUCUUUGAAUAGGACAUCAUAGAGGGUGAGAUCCCGUAUUGACAUUCUUUCAGCUUGUGAUACACUUCAAAGAGUCGGAUUGUUUGGGAAUGCAGUCCAAAAUGGUGUAAAUUUCAUCUAAAGCUAAAUAUUGGCGAGAGACGAUAGCGAACAAGUACCGUGAGGGAAAGACGAAAAGAACUUUGAAAAGAGAGUAAACAGUACGUGAAAUUGUCAAAAGGAAGCGUUGACACCAGUGUUGUUUUCCGAAAAUCAAUUAAAAAUAAUUCAUGCCAGGUUGUAUUGACUUAUCAGCUUGCAAUUGGUUUGGGUUUCUUUUUGAUGCACUUUUCGGUUAACAAGUCAACAUCAAUUCCUUUGCUGUAAAAGGCAGGAGGAAGGUGCUUCAAUUCGGUUGAAGUGUUUAUAGCCCUCUGUCUCUGCAGUCGGGGAGAUUGAGGUCUGCGCGUAGAUCUUCGGGGUAGAUACAUUCGUGCUAAGUUAUAGCCUUUUAUAGACAACUUGUUGACUAUGAUCGGUCAUGUAAUUACUCGCGAGUGCUAUUUACUACGCUUAGGAUGUUGAA